rnacentral:rRNA from 1 species
CAGUUCAGAUUGCAGGCUGCAACUCGCCUGCAUGAAGUCGGAAUUGCUAGUAAUCGUAGGUCAGCAUACUACGGUGAAUACGUUCCCGGGCCUUGUACACACCGCCCGUCACACCAUGAGAGUCGGGAACACCCGAAGUCCGUAGCCUAACCGCAAGGGGGCGCGGCCGAAGGUGGGUUCGAUAAUUGGAGUGAAGUCGUAACAAGGUAUC